AGAGUUUGAUCCUGGCUCAGAGCGAACGCUGGCGGCAGGCUUAACACAUGCAAGUCGAGCGGGCGUAGCAAUACGUCAGCGGCAGACGGGUGAGUAACGCGUGGGAACAUACCUUUUGGUUCGGAACAACCCAGGGAAACUUGGGCUAAUACCGGAUAAGCUUACGGGGAAAGAUUUAUCGCCGAAAGAUUGGCCCGCGU
rnacentral:rRNA from 1 species